rnacentral:rRNA from 1 species
UGGGGAAUAUUGGACAAUGGGCGCAAGCCUGAUCCAGCAAUUCCGCGUGGGUGAAGAAGGUCUUCGGAUUGUAAAGCCCUUUCGACGGGGACGAUGAUGACGGUACCCGUAGAAGAAGCCCCGGCUAACUUCGUGCCAGCAGCCGCGGUAAUACGAAGGGGGCUAGCGUUGCUCGGAAUUACUGGGCGUAAAGGGCGCGUAGGCGGCGGUGUUAGUCAGGCGUGAAAGCCCUGGGCUCAACCUGGGGACUGCGCUUGAUACGGCAUUGCUAGAGGAUGGAAGAGGGUCGCGGAAUUCCCAGUGUAGAGGUGAAAUUCGUAGAUAUUGGGAAGAACACCGGUGGCGAAGGCGGCGACCUGGUCCAUUACUGACGCUGAGGCGCGACAGCGUGGGGAGCAAACA